UAAGCGGAGGAAAAGAAACCAACAGGGAUUGCCUCAGUAACGGCGAGUGAAGCGGCAAGAGCUCAACUUUGGAAUCGCUCCGGCGAGUUGUAGUCUGGAGGUGGCCACCACGAGGUGUUCUAGCAGCAGGCAAGUCCUUUGGAACAAGGCGCCAGCGAGGGUGACAGCCCCGUACCUGCUUUUGCUAGUGCUUCCUGUGGCCCACCGACGAGUCGAGUUGUUUGGGAAUGCAGCUCUAAGUGGGUGGUAAAUUCCAUCUAAGGCUAAAUAUUGGCGAGAGACCGAUAGCGAACAAGUACAGUGAUGGAAAGAUGAAAAGCACUUUGAAAAGAGAGUGAAACAGUACGUGAAAUUGUUGAAAGGGAAGGGCUUGCACCCAGACACGGUUUCGGCCGGGCCAGCAUCAAGUAGAACGGGGUUAAAAGACCUGGGGAAUGUAGCUACCUCUUGGUAGUGUUAUAGCCCUUGGGUGAUGACCCCUGUUUUGCUUGAGGACAGCGGUCUCUAGGAUGCUGGCGCAAUGGUUGCAAGCCACCCGUCUUGA
rnacentral:rRNA from 2 species